UACAGAGGUCCCGAGCGUUGUUCGGAUUCACUGGGCGUAAAGGGUGCGUAGGUGGUGAGGUAAGUCGGAUGUGAAAUCUCCGGGCUCAACCCGGAAAUGGCAUUGGAAACUACCUUGCUGGAGGGUUUGAGGGGGGACUGGAAUGCUUGGUGUAGCAGUGAAAUGCGUAGAUAUCAAGCGGAACACCGGUGGCGAAGGCGAGUCCCUGGAAAACACCUGACACUGAGGCACGAAAGCUAGGGGAGCAAAC
rnacentral:rRNA from 1 species